rnacentral:rRNA from 1 species
GAUGAACGCUGGCGGCGUGCCUAAUACAUGCAAGUCGAGCGAACGGACGAGAAGCUUGCUUCUCUGAUGUUAGCGGCGGACGGGUGAGUAACACGUGGAUAACCUACCUAUAAGACUGGGAUAACUUCGGGAAACCGGAGCUAAUACCGGAUAAUAUUUUGAACCGCAUGGUUCAAAAGUGAAAGACGGUCUUGCUGUCACUUAUAGAUGGAUCCGCGCUGCAUUAGCUAGUUGGUAAGGUAACGGCUUACCAAGGCAACGAUGCAUAGCCGACCUGAGAGGGUGAUCGGCCACACUGGAACUGAGACACGGUCCAGACUCCUACGGGAGGCAGCAGUAGGGAAUCUUCCGCAAUGGGCGAAAGCCUGACGGAGCAAUGCCGCGUGAGUGAUGAAGGUCUUCGGAUCGUAAAACUCUGUUAUUAGGGAAGAACAUAUGUGUAAGUAACUGUGCACAUCUUGACGGUACCUAAUCAGAAAGCCACGGCCAACUACGUG